rnacentral:rRNA from 1 species
UACGUAGGGUCCGAGCGUUGUCCGGAAUUACUGGGCGUAAAGGGCGCGUAGGCGGCCCCGUUUUUGUCAGGCGUGAAAAGCCCUGGGGCUCAACCUGGGAACUGCGCUUGGGACGGAUGGGCUUGAGAUCGGGGAGAGGAGAGUGGAAUUCCCAGUGUAGAGGUGAAAUUCGUAGAUAUUGGGAAGAACACCGGUGGCGAAGGCGGCUCUCUGGACCGACACUGACGCUGAGGCGCGAAAGCGUGGGGAGCAAACAGG